UAAUAAUAAGCCCUCGUAUGUCCGUUUUUAAUGCGUUUUUAAUGAAACUUCGUAGUCGCCGUCGUCGUCUCACCUUCGCCUUAUAGUCGCCUUAUAUAUACAUAGUCAAGGACAUUAUUUUACUCUCCGCAUUAUCCGAUCCCGGCCCCGGAAAAACAUUUCUGUCGUUUCCUAUCGUCGUCGUCGCGUGCACAAACAAUACGCGACCGGAAAAACCGAGCUACAGUUUUGAAAAAACAAAAUCUUGGUCAAACCCGAAGAGAGGACCGUCGAUUGAUAAAGAAGAAGCUGAUGGAUAAAACGGGCUAAACAAGACUCCUUAGAAAGACCCAGAACUCGGUGGAUUGAUGUAAUUGACAGAGAUCUGAGAGCGAUUCAUAUAGCAAUUCAUAUCGUAAUAAUAUAUAACAUUUGAUUUGACUUACAAUGUAGAGAGGUAAUUAAUGUAUCAGUGGACCUUUACGGACUGGUAAAUUGAUACCACGACGACGAUAAAAUCUUCGGUACACGGUCAAAUGAGCGAUUACGUUAAAUUUAUUUCUGCAUUUAUUUACACGACAUUUUGAGAUUGUUCGUGUUAUUUUUUUCAUUCUAAUAAAUUUAAUUUUUGUUUCUAUUUAAUACGUUUGGUAAAAAUAUAUUUAACCUCACUUUUGUAUUUUUUGAGUAAAUUAUUAAUUUUAAUGGAGUUCGAUUUAAUAGUGGACUUAAAUCAAUAUUUAUCGGUUUCAUUAAAUUGGGUUUACGUUAACUC